UACAGAGGUCUCAAGCGUUGUUCGGAUUUAUUGGGCGUAAAGGGCGCGUAGGCGGCGGGGUAAGUCGGGUGUGAAAUCUCAGGGCUCAACCCUGAAACUGCACUUGAUACUGCUCUGCUUGAGGACUGGAGAGGAGACUGGAAUUCACGGUGUAGCAGUGAAAUGCGUAGAGAUCGUGAGGAAGACCAGUGGCGAAGGCGGGUCUCUGGACAGUUCCUGACACUGAGGCACGAAGGCCAGGG
rnacentral:rRNA from 1 species